AUUCCAAACAACCCUAAUAGCAAAGAAGAAGAGGGAGAAGGUGAAAGAGAUUUAACGAAAUCUCUAACCAGUACAAUGGAGAAAAAAGAUCCAGAGAUCAUCACAGAGAAGGGACUGAUGAGGAAUUGGUCAAGGUCCAUGAGAGCUCAAGGCAAGACCAUUGGUUUGGUACCUACAAUGGGAUACCUCCACCAAGGCCACAUCUCCUUGAUUAAAGAAGCUCGGAAACACACCGACCUGCUUGUGGUCUCAAUCUAUGUAAAUCCAGGUCAAUUUUCCCCAAACGAAGAUCUCUCCACAUACCCAUCUGAUUUUCAAGGCGAUAUUGACAAGCUGAUGGCGUUGCCUGGUGGUGUCGAUGUUGUAUUUCACCCUUAUGACCUUUAUGAUUACAGAAACAAUGGCAGUGAAUCUGGAGAGAAUGAUACAAGCAAAAUAUUUGAUGCAAAAGAUGAGGAUGGAAGAGAAAAAGCGGUGGUGUCUUGCAUUGAAGAGAGGCAAUCCGGGCAUGAGACAUGGAUAAGAGUUGAGAGGUUGGAGAAGGGACUUUGUGGGAAGAGCAGGCCUGUUUUCUUUAGAGGGGUUGCUACUGUUGUGGCUAAAUUGUUCAACAUAGUGGAGCCAGACGUUGCUGUCUUUGGCAAGAAGGAUUAUCAACAGUGGCGAAUUAUUUGUCGAAUGGUUCGAGACCUUGAUUUUCCUAUAAAUGUGAUAGGUUCUGAAAUAGUGCGUGAAGAUGAUGGUCUUGCAAUGAGCUCCCGGAAUGUGCAUCUCUCAACUGAAGAGAGGGAAAAGGCCUUAUCCAUCAGCAUGUCAUUGUCAAGAGCUAAAAUUGCUGCACAAAAUGGGCAAGUUUCUUGCAGGGAGUUGCAGAACUCAGUCAUUCAAGCAAUACAAGAAGCUGGUGGUAAAGUUGAUUAUGCUGAGAUUAUAGGCCAGGAAAAUCUGGAAGCAGUUGAAGAGAUCAAAAUCCCUGUUGUAUUUUGUGUCGCAGCCUGGUUCGGAAAAGUUAGGCUGAUUGACAACAUGGAAAUUGAUAUGAGAGUCAUGUAAACACACAGGUACUGAUCUACUUGGGAUAAAAGGAUGACUGGUUUGGAAGCCAUGGUUGGGCCGUAAUUAUUCAGAAGAUAGAAAUGGAUUUUCCUAGAAACUGGUGCAGAUGCUUGUCGUUUUGGUGGAGAAAUCUUUGGUGGUACCAUUCACUGACCAAUAUGAAGUCGACUUCGGUUGUUCUUGAUAAUGUGGUUGGUGGUGGAGUAGCAAAGACCAAAACCAAAACCAAAACCAGGAGAAGGUCGCCAGGGAAUGUGAAGACCCUCACAGUAACUACUUAUUCUUGAUAAUGUGGUUGGUGGUGGAGUAGCAAAGACCAAAACCAAAACAGGUCGCCAGGGAAAGUGAAGACCCUCACAGUAACUACUUAUUUGAAUGUUGGGUAGACAAGCCCAAGUGAUUAAUACCCGGGCUUUAUAUUAAUGAACUUUGAUUUUUAGAGAAACGACUUGAGAUUCAAGGAACAUUGGUGGGAUGGAACAAGUGUACCAAUGAUCAAUAGUUUUUUCAAAUACUCCUCCAAUUGCCAAUAAAUUAAUCUUUGAAAUA